rnacentral:tRNA from 1 species
UCGCGUAUGGCGCAAUCGGCAGCGCCCCGGAUUGUUAAUCCGGUGGUUCCAGGUUCGAGUCCUGGUGCGCGAG